UUGCUUCGGCAGCAUAUAUACUAAAACUGAAAUGACACAGAGAAGGUUAGCAUGAUAUCUGCUUGAGGAAGACAUGCAAAUUCGUGAAUAGUAUUAAUAAUGA